AUAUAAGCUGUUGUAAUCACUUAUCUUACUUAACGUGAACCAAUUAUCCGCAAUAAAAUGCCCUAGCAACACACACACACACACACUGGAGAAUACUCGGAUACAACAAUAUAAUGGUGGCAAAAAUAGAUUUCCGCACCUUUUCCUGAAGGCUUGACUGAGCAUCUGUCACCAAUUUUGUCUGCAUGAAGUAAUAAAUUAUGACAUCACAAUGUUGUAUGAAUGGAACUUAACCUUAAUAAGUUUUUACAGGUUGACAAGAAACUGGAAAGAAGUCCACUAAUCAAAUGUUCAAGAGGUUCGAACAUUCUUGCCACAUAAGCUCAGCUCAUCAAAAAGUCUCAAGAUGUUUCUGCAUGAGCCCAAGGUCCGCCACACUUAUCUGGUCAACACGUGGCUCCUUAAGUUCACUAUGGGAAGAAAUAUAACUUAUGAGUAAACAA